GUAAAGUAAAUGUCUGUACUCUGUAUGUAUUCCACGUAUUUAUUCCUGUCAGCAGCACAUUGACUGCUGCUGUAUAAGACCCUGAAGAUCCUCAUAGAGAGAAGGUCGGGGGGGUGUUUAGCUCCUAAAACACAGGGCUUUUAAGCCAGGGAACAGAGUUCAUGUCCCAGAAAACGUUAAGGAGAAAACAUAAGACUUUCACCAGGAAACAGGUGUCCAUGUCCUGGAGAAGUUAAGGAGAAAACAGAAGACCUUCAACAGGAAACAGAUGUUCAUGUCCAGGAGAAGUUAAGGAGAAAACACAAGACUUUCACCAAGGAAACAGGUGUUCAUGUCCUGGAGAAGUUAAGGAGAAAA